rnacentral:rRNA from 1 species
UACGGGGGGGGCAAGCGUUGUUCGGAAUUACGGGGCGUAAAGGGCUCGUAGGCGGCCAACUAAGUCAGACGUGAAAUCCCUCGGCUUAACCGGGGAACUGCGUCUGAUACUGGAUGGCUUGAGUUUGGGAGAGGGAUGCGGAAUUCCAGGUGUAGCGGUGAAAUGCGUAGAUAUCGGGAGGAACACCGGUGGCGAAGGCGGCGAUCUGGGUCGAUACUGACGCUGAGGUGCGAAAGCGUGGGGAGCAAACAGG